AUUGAACGCUGGCGGCAGGCCUAACACAUGCAAGUCGAGCGAGCGGCGGACGGGUGAGUAAUGUCUGGGAAACUGCCUGACGGAGGGGGAGCACUACUGGAAACGGUAGCUAAUAACGCAUACCAUCGGAUGAGCCCAGAUGGGAUUAGCUAGUAGGUGGGGUAACGGCUAACAUAGGCGACGAUCCCUAGCUGGUCUGAGAGGAUGACCAGCCACACUGGAACGGAGACACGGUCCAGACUCCUACGGUAGGCAGCAGUGGGGAAUAUUGCACAAUGGGCGAAAGCCUGAUGCAGCCAUGCCGCGUGUGUGAAGAAGGCCUUCGGGUUGUAAAGCACUUUCAGCGGGGAGGCGUUACCCGCAGAAGAAGCACCGGCUAACUCCGUGCCAGCAGCCGCGGUAAUUC
rnacentral:rRNA from 1 species